CUGGCAACACUCAUAUGCAUUGAAAUUGCAGGAUAGCUUUUGAUCCAUCAGUUCAACUCUAGAAGUCAUUUGAAGGCUACUACCUGUGAAAAUGAAAAUCUUGUGGAUGAACAUUGUAUCAUCAAAUUUUACCUUCGCUUAACCCAACACCAACAUGACUAAAAAGUUCUCUGUAGAAGCCAUGGAACCCAAAACCACCGCUAUACUAAGCCAGCAAAAUCCCAACUACACUAAGUAUUCAUCCUUAUACUUGCAGUUUCCCUUAGGUUCCAGUUAUUGGUGAAGCAUAAAUAAUAGCAAGCCAGGAGUUUUAUCUCGGACUCAGCAAGCUGCAAUUCAGAACUGCUGACAGGAGUAAUGUGGGGCUGGGGAGGCCUCCUCAGCCUGCACACUCCUCAUCCAUGUGCUAAUGAACUGUUGAAUGGCCACAAGGAAAAGUCCUGAGAAGAGAGGAAGCAAGAGAGUCAACUCCUGCAGCCCCAUGAUAAGCCACCAAUAAUGCCAGCUUAAUCCUCGCUCUGUCACCUAUCCGGGGCAUCAAUCCCAGCCUUCUACCUGAAAAUACCAAAUCAAUAAACGCAUGCG